GCGCGAAACCUCCGCAAUGCGAGCAAUCGCGACGGGGGAGACCCAAGUGCCACUCUUAACGGGGUGGCUUUUCUGAAGUGUAAAAAGCUUUUGGAAUAAGAGCUGGGCAAGACCGGUGCCAGUCGCCGCGGUAACACCGGCAGCUCAAGUGGUGGCCAUUUUUAUUGGGCCUAAAGCGUUCGUAGCCGGCGUGAUAAGUCUCUGGUGAAAUCCCACAGCUUAACUGUGGGAAUUGCUGGAGAUACUAUCAGGCUUGAGGCCGGGAGAGGCUGGAGGUACUCCCAGGGUAGGGGUGAAAUCCUAUAAUCCUGGGAGGACCACCUGUGGCGAAGGCGUCCAGCUGGAACGGACCUGACGGUGAGUAACGAAAGCCAGGGGCGCGAACC
rnacentral:rRNA from 1 species